CCAUCUAGCCAACACACCUCUCUGUCCCCAGAUCACACCCCAAAAGAGCUGUUAAAGCUCAUCCAACCCAUCAAACCAGUUAGAACUUCGAAAGACCCAUUCAACCCUACACACCAUAUGUGUGGACUAAGCCACUCAGAUAUUAAUAGGCAGCAGAGCUGGCGUAUGUGUUGUACAGUGCAAUGCGGUAAUUCGCUGUACAGUCCUGUUGCAGUUAUACUGCCAGAUCAGAAUAUAGUACGCAGCAUAGUUGACGCACAUGCAGUACAAUGUGAUAAAUCACCGUAAGAAUAUGUUGCAGUGAAACUGCUAGAUCAGAUCAUAAUCAGACUCUCCUCACUUCGCAAUCCCACCCAAAACUUUAUGCAAGUGUAUGUAUGUAUACAUUAACACAGAACAUAAAGAGCACAUCCACAGUCAGUUAGACAGGAACAAAUAUGUACACAUACCCAGCUAAUCGGGUUUAGAGUCAGACAUCUCACACAACAAUUACUAAUAUCACAUAAGCCACAACAAAUAAAACUCUUAAUUACCCUUCCUAAGGCUUAGCCAAGGGUUGAAGCACACGAACAUAUUAUCAGAUCAAAACAGCACACAGACACAAUAUAAGUGUCAUAGAACCACACGCCUGUGUGCUCUGGCCGUGUGGAAGGUCAAAAUUCUAUGUAGAAAGGCACACACAGCUGUGUAGCUGGGGCACAUGCUUGUGUAAAGAGAAGCACACACCCAUGUGAAGAGAGGCACACGCCCGUGUGAAGAGAGGCACACGCCCGUGUGAAGAGAAGCACAUGGCCGUGUGACUAAGGUACAUGCCCGUGUGGACCAAGGACAUGGCCAUGGGAACAGGUCGUGUAACUCUCUGUUCAUUUGCACUAAAUUUAAGUACAGGGCUGACACGACCGUGUGAGGGUCUCACACGUCCGUGUGCCCACCAGACAUGACUAUGUGUCCAAAACACAAGCCCGAAUGGGAUCCCUAAAUCCCUAAAUUAGACACAUGGCCAUGUGACACCAAAUCACCGAAACCCUAAUUCCCAAACACACAUGCCCGUGUGCCUAGAGGAUACAACCGUGUGAAAAUCACAAUUCGUACACAUUCUAAACAUAGGACAGCGAUACCAAGUCGAAAAUAACAGGUUUGCGAACACCCACACACACGUUGUCGACUUUCCGUGAAGUCGGAGCAAAAUUCACAAAUAAAACAAUAGAAGUUACGAACACAAACCUGAUUUACGAUCUACGACUUUUCGGCACCGUCUUGAUGACGAGAGAGAGGCUCUCCAAAAUCC
rnacentral:lncRNA from 1 species